CCUACGGGUGUCAGCAGUGAGGAAUAUUGGUCAAUGGGCUCGAGCCUGAACCAGCCAAGUAGCGUGAAGGAUGACUGCCCUACGGGUUGUAAACUUCUUUUAUAAAGGCAUAAAGUGAGGCACGUGUGCCUUUUUGUAUGUACUUUAUGAAUAAGGAUCGGCUAACUCCGUGCCAGCAGCCGCGGUAAUACGGAGGCGCCGAGCGUUAUCCGGAUUUAUUGGGUUUAAGGGGAGCGUAGAUGGGUUGUUAAAUCAGUUGUGAAAUUUUGCGGCUCAACCGUAAAAUUGCAAUUGAUACUGGCAGUCUUGAGUACAGUUGAGGUAGGCGGAAUUCGUGGUGUAGCGGUGAAAUGCUUAGAAAUCACGAAGAACUCCGAUUGCGAAGGCAGCUUACUAAACUGCCACUGACAUUGAUGCUCGAAAGUGUGGGUAUCAAACAGGAUUAGAUACCCGUGUAGUC
rnacentral:rRNA from 1 species